ACACGGACACACACAUGCAGAAAGACACACGGCUACACGGACCCCUCUAUUGGCUGAGUGGGACUGGCGCAGGUCAUCAUCUGAAGAUACCCAGGAAAGGCCAUCGGGGGCCCUGGGUGUGGAAGGAUGUGCUCUCUCCGUUUUCCUGGCUCCUGUCUCUGCCCCUCCAGUAUGAUGAAGUGGAGAGGUGAACGCCCCUGAGCAAGCCACACAGCUUCUGAGAACCUCUGCUCCCUCACCUUUCCAGGAUCUCAGGUGCCUGUGGGACACUCCCUUCAGAGCCCCCAAAACAGGGCCUAACUCACUAUUUUAAAUUAUAUUGUGCCCCCCCCACCACCACCCGUGUGUGUAUGUCUGUGUGUGUGUGUGUGUUUACAACUUGUGGGAGUCAGUUCUCUCCUACCAUUAUAUCAUGUGGAUCCUGGGGGAAACCAUCAGCCUUGAGAGCAGACAUCUGAACCAUCUCACCAGCCCCUCGCUGUUUUUAUUGCUUUACCAAACUCAAACUCUUGCUAAAUAAGCUAUGGGUGUCUAGUCCUACAAGACCCCAUGAGGGCAAAGACUUUCUUAAGAACUCAUUCCUAGUCAGUAGGCAGAGGCAGGCAGAUCUCUGAGUUCAAGGCCCAGGACGGCUAGAACUGUAGUCUGGCUGGCAGGAAACCUAGGCUUCAAAACAACAAAAGCAAAAAAGAACUUGCUACUAGGGAGCUUGCCUCGCCUGGUUGUGUACACACAGGAAAUCUUGGGUUCAGUCCUCAGCACAGUUGGUGUAUGCUUAUAAUCCCAGCUCUGAGGAAGUGGAGGCCGGAAGAUCAUGAGUUCAAUAUCCUCCUCAGCUGCUGACUGGCACCCAAUAUUGGUUUCCUGAAACUUUUAUCUGGAAGAUAAGCACAGAGAUUUAGCUUCACAAAAUCAAUAGUUAUCAUGUGUAUACUUAUAAAUUGCCUUAAUGUUCAACUAUUGUCAGUUGUUAGUGUGAUAAGACAAAUAGAAUAUUAUGCAACCUUUAAGAGGAAGCAGGUGGUUGUUAUUGAUGUGGAAAGAUGUUAAUUACUAAAGAAAAACAAGAUACUGUCUUAGUUAAGGUUUCAUUUCACUCUUACAAGGAAAACAUUUAAUUGGGGCUGGCUUACAGAUUCAGGAGUUUAGACCAUUAUCAUCAAAGCAAGACACAUAUAUGGUGGUGUACAGACAGACACGGUACUGGAGAAGGAGCUGAGAACUCCUCCUUGAUCUGCAGGUAGCAGGUACCACUACACUGGGCAUGGCUUGAGCAUAGGAGACCUCAAAGCCUACCUCCACAGUGACACACUUUCCCAACAAGGCCACACCUACUCCAACAAGGCCAUACUUCCUAAUAGUGGCACUCCCUAUGGGCCAAGCAUUCAAACACGAGUCUAUGGUGGCUAUAUCUGUAAAUGGAUUUUUAUUAAACUCUAUGAGUUAGUGAUAUGACUCAGUCAAACCUCCCCUCUCCCAAUAACUAAGGCAGAAUCCUAUGGAUUUUUUAACCAGCUCUUGCACAAUUACUGGGGGAUUACCCCUAAUCUCUAUUUCUAUUAACUAGACUGUUAAUUCCCAGCUGUGCUCCCCAAAUAUUUGCUGUUUGAACCUUGCCUGGGUUACUUCUGUUGCAGCAAACUGUCCUGGGGGUGGGGUGGGGGACAUUUCACUUAGGCACAUGCUCCUGGGCCAUCAUGUCUAACGGAGACCUUCUGUCUUCUCUGUCUUCCUUCCCCUAUUCCUCUUUCUUUUUCAUGGUCUCUACCUGCGACCCACAGCCAGGUAACUGAAAAUCAGCCUACCUCUGUUGUCCCCAGUAAUUGGCUGUAGCCACCUUUAUUUAGCCAAUAGUUUAAAAUUGGGGAGCAAGGUUUACAUAGCAUCACUUGGUGUAUGUGAGGAUCUGCUGGUGGGGGUGGCAGCUACCAGAUCUUGGGGGGGGGGAGUAUUUAGCAUUUGAAUAUGAAGCAGCACCAGCUAACACAUACCAAGUCAAACUACCACAAAGACUAUUUACAUAUCAAAAAUAUGUACUUGUAUAUUUAAAAAUCUGUAAGUUAUUGCAUCCAGAAGUCAACAAUCGAUAAUCUUGAAUAUGGUUUUCAGUGACUUCCCGUUCCAGAUUUUCCUCUUCCAAGUUCUCCUCCCUGUACUUUGCUUUCAUGAAUGAUAAAGGUGAUGGAGAGGUGUGUGUAUGUGUGUGUGUGGGGGGGUGCAGCUAUUAAUUAAAAAUUUUCUUCCUUCAGCUUUUAAAUUACUGAAUAAAAAUGAAGACAUGGCCACUCCUAGGUGUAAUUAAGAAGGUUUAAUUGUAGAUAUGAGGGAAAGAACAGCCAGAGGCAUCUGGAAGAGUCCAGACUAAACGUGGUCAGCAGAGUACACCCGGUCAAGGGAGGUGGGGGGAGUGAAAGAGAAAGUGAAAAGGCGGAGGUGGCUAUAGACUAAUAAACCAAGAGGGCUAGGAACCAAAAUGGCAGGAUUUUAUAGCGAUGUAAGCUGGGGGACNNNNNNNNNNNNNGCAUCUGGGCAGCAGAGGUUUAGGGGAGGGGAGGGGCAAGGAACACUGGGAGGAGCCACAGGUUUCUACUGGCUAGCAUCUGCUUUGAUAAGUUAAUAGUACCUUGGUUUGCCUCUGGUCCUGGGUUUCUUUGGGACCUAGCAUGUAUUUGUUAUUAAAAUGAUGAAGGUGGGGGAUGGGUAGUCAGGCAGUGGUGGCACACACCUUCAUCUGAGGACAGUCUGGUCUAUUGAGUGAGCCAGGGCUAUUAGAGAAAGCCUGUCCCAAGACACAAAAAACGAACCUAAACAAACAAAACAAAAAAACGAAGGAAGGGGCUGGCUCUUUGUUCCAGAGGACCCAGGUUCAAUUCCCAGCACCCACAAGGCAGCUUACAACUGUCUUUAACUCCAGGAUCUGGCACCCUUGCACAGACAUACAUGCAGGCAACAAAACUAUACAAGGGAGAGAAUUUUAAUAGCAUAAAUUUCCUAUUAUGUAAUUAGUUGUGCCUGUUGAUAGGACUGUGAUAUUUUGAUACCUAUGAACUUUGUAUAAUGAUCACACAAAGUAAUUGGUAGGCCACCUCGUACAUUUAUCAUUUCCUGAUCAGCUGUAAUCAAUCACAAACAUGGGUUUUUAGUUCAGUGUUCAGUAUUGCUGAUCUCAGAAUACUACACUGUGUAAGAAGACUUAGUGAUAGCCGGGCAGUGGUGGCGCACGCCUUUAAUCCCAGCACUUGUGAGGCAGAGGCAGGCGGAUUUCUGAGUUCAAGGCCAGCCUGGUCUACAGAGUGAGUUCCAGGACAGCCAGGGCUACACAGAGAAACCCUGUCUCGGAGAAGG
ensembl:lincRNA Gm26822 predicted gene, 26822